AGUUCAGACGCUCCAGAUUUCUCCUAAGGGAAGCGGAGGAGUCUGUGAACAUGGGCGACUUUGUAACAACGAUUAUAGCCGUACAGCUGAACUUGUCUGAUAAUGUGACGCCCUCCAGAGACGACCCGCCUUAAAUAGGUUUCUAUGUGGAGACGUUGCUGAAGACGUAACUUUGAGAAGGGCGGUGGAGAUGAUCCAUAAGUAGGAAAAGGAGGUGCACAACAACAACAAAAAGGUUCAUGGACAUCGGUUGCAAGAGCUGAAGUUUUAAGACCAGUCUGGGCUCCCGAGGUCCCUUAUGGAGCUGGCAAACAAGCAAGAGCAGUUUGAAGGAAUCAUUCUUAAGCCUGACGCUUAAUGAAAAUUGAGAGCAAAAUGUUGGAAUGAGCCAAACCACAUGUACUGAAAAACUUUAUUUAAAAACUGUACAGAUAUAAUAAAAAUCCAAAGAGGCAAACGGAUCA